UCCGGAGGGUGCGAGCGUUGUCCGGAAUCACUGGGCGUAAAGGGCGCGUAGGCGGCUGGCCAAGUGUGCGGUGAAAGUCCGGGGCUCAACCCCGGAUCUGCCGUGCGGACUGGUUUGCUAGAGCACUGUAGAGGCGAGUGGAAUUCCACGUGUAGCAGUGAAAUGCGUAGAGAUGUGGAGGAAUACCGAUGGCGAAGGCAGCCCCCUGGGAUGAUACUGACGCUCAUGCACGAAAGCGUGGGGAGCAAACAGG
rnacentral:rRNA from 1 species